rnacentral:lncRNA from 1 species
UGAAAUUGAAACUAUGUUGUUGCGCAGGUGAUUCAAAGAACGUUUGCCCAUCUCUGACCACAAUGAAUCCACUGUCUCCAAGAUUGAUAGCAUUUAGACCCUGUUCAAGGCAACAUAAUUGUACAACUAUCAGAAACAAAUUAUGACAUUCUCAUAAGAGAUUUUUAUAGGAAAAUAUCUGGGUGUAUAGAAAAUUUUUCAUAGACUAUAUACAGAAUAGACAGGUGGGUGGGUCCCAUGUUGUAUAAAAAAUGCCAAAAAUGUGUGUGAGCCACAGAACUGUGAGUUUUCUUUAUAUAUUCUGGCAAAAAUCCUUCUGUACGUGUAGAAGGGUUGUUUUUCUAGAUAUAUUGCAGAACAAAUGAAGAUUCCAAGAACAGAUCAUAAAGAUUGAUAGCAUUUAUACCCUGUUCAGGGCAACAUAAUUGUACAACUGUCAGAAACAAAUUAUGACAUUCUCAUAAGAGAUUUUUAUAGGAAAAAAUCUAGGUGUAUAGAAAAUUUUUCACAUACUGUGUACAAAAUAGAGACAGGUGUGUGGGCCCCAGAACUGUGAGUUCUCUUUAUGUAUUCUGGCAAAAAUCCUUUUGUACGUGUAGAAGGAUUGUUUUUCUAGAUAUAUUGCAGAACAAAUGAAGAUUCCAAGAACAGACCAUUAACAUUUUCAAUGCAAUGAUUGUACAACUAUCAGAAACAUAAUUGUACAACAUAAUUAUACAACUAUCAGAAACAAAUUAUGACAUUCUCAUAAGAGAUUUUUAUAGGAAAAAAUUUGGGUGUAUAGAAAAUUUUUCACAGACUGUAUACAGAAUAGAGAUUGGUGGGUGGGCCCCAUGUUGUAUGAAAAAUACCAAAAAUGUGUGUGAACCCCAGAACUGUGAGUUUUCUUUAUGUAUUCUGGCAAAAAUCCUUCUGUACGUGUAGAAGGGUUGUUUUUCUAGAUAUAUUGCAGAACAAAUGAAGAUUCCAAGAACAGAUCAUAAAGAUUGAUAGCAUUUAGACCCUGUUUAGGGCAACAUAAUUGUACAACGGUCAGAAACAAACUAUGACAUUCUCAUAAGAGAUUUUUAUAGGAAAAAAUCUGGGUGUAUAGAAAAUUUUUCACAGACUGUGUACAGAAUAGAGACAGGUGUGUGGACCCCA